UUGCUGAAUGACAGAAUUCAUGUAACAAGUGGCUCCAGCAUUUUUAAGCCCUACAAAUCCCUUUGGUGGUCGUGGUCCAACAGGUGGCAGAUAUUCCCAUUCUGAAGUAUGAUUAUACUACCUAGCAAUCAUCUCGGAAAAAAAGAAGUUUAAUAUUAAAGAGAAAAAGACUGAAGAGCUGCUCUAAGUAAAACUGUACCAGCAUCACAGCAAAUUACCCAUA